rnacentral:rRNA from 1 species
AAAUUGAAGAGUUUGAUCAUGGCUCAGAUUGAACGCUGGCGGCAGGCCUAACACAUGCAAGUCGAACGGUAACAGGAAGCAGCUUGCUGCUUCGCUGACGAGUGGCGGACGGGUGAGUAAUGUCUGGGAAACUGCCUGAUGGAGGGGGAUAACUACUGGAAACGGUGGCUAGGAUAACUACUGGAAACGGUGGCUA